CAGUCCAUUCUUAUACCUCAGUACCACCACGAUAGGACUCUCGCUACCGGUGACGACCAUCAGACCCUUCCAUAUCAUCAGGGCGGACGAGACUAUCAUCCCAAAGCUCAGUACUUGAUACAGAAACUAAAAAUUAAAGAGCAUUGAUAUAUAGCCACCAUAUGCGAGCUCCGGACGAGCGCGGUAACGAAGGUGUCGUCGAAGGAAAAAACUUACCUGGCGUUUAUUCAUACGCCGCACAUCGUCGAAUAUCGAUUGCAACAUGAUGACGAGAGGGAUUUCCGGGGGCUCGACGACGACAGAAGAGAGUAUUUCUCCAGUUUCGUUGAUUCGAACACAACCGGCAACCAAGUCGUCUAUCGCAGAUUACAUGUAAAUGUGUCUACCAUUGGCACCAAGUUUCGCUGUCGCCGCUAUUACCACGUCACGUAAACAAUGAACGGAGGGAACUGGAACAGAGAAUCGAUAGAAUCCGCGGAACGGCCGGAGUGGAUCAAACUUUGGGUCAUAGAAAACGAAACGUGGACAUAGAGGAGCCUAGUCGACCAGAAAUUUGACAAAUCACUGGCCUAGGGUUUUUUAGUUCGACCAAUCAGGGACAAUUAUGACGUCACGAUUAAAUGUCACUUCUAGGUGCUCGUAUGUACCAAAUCACAAGUGGAAAAACAUUUGUUUAUAAAUGUUUACAAAUGGCUGCGAUAUAUAUAUAUAUAUAUAUAUAUAUAUAUAUAUAUAUAUAUAUAUAUUGCGGUGACAGGUGACGGCGUCUCGUAAGUUGAUUUGACAGCUGAUUGACGUAUGGCUUUUCGGACAACGUGACGAUUCUCUGGGUCCGCGGGAUCGAGGCCGAUGAGACGCGGAAUUUUGCCCAAGCCCAAGCUCUGGAUAUGUUUCGCAGCAAAAGCACUCACAUGUGCACCAAGACUAUGACCGAUAAACGUGAUGUUAUCCAACAAGAUGUUGCACUUCUUGACCAGAGAUUCUACGUAUCUGAAGAAAAAAAUUCGCACAUGAAUCAAGGACAUCGUGUCUUCUUCAUUUUACAAAACAGUAUAAUAUUCACCUGUACAAAUCGCUUGGCCAAAUUAUAACCGCUAGUUGUAUUUGCAUAGCUAAUAAAACCAUGGACCAAAAAAACAAUGGGCUUCAAAGGAUCAAAAUUACAGCUUUCUUGUGCGCCGAUAUCUUCGCCUUCAAGAUUAACACUGGAAGAGAAAUAUGGAAAUAUAUAAACAGCGUGCGGAGAAAUGAAUUAACGGGACACUUAUUGCGCUUUACCUGUUGUAUAAAAUGAUCGACAUGUAUUUAGGGCCGAAGAUACAGGAAUCGUUGAAUACAUUGUUGAUAGAGAUAUCGUUAAAAGAAAACAAGUCUGAAGGAUAUAAAUACACGCAUCGUAUGAAGAAAGUUACAAAUAUCGCAGCAACGAUUCUCAUUAUGAUAGGAGAAAAGGUAUUGCUGAAUUUUAAAAAGAAACUGAAUCAAGUAAUGGAUUUCGCGGUAUUUUAUAGCAAAGUUACUUUCAUAUAUACAUAUAUAUAUAUAUAUAUUCAUAUAUACAUAUAUAUAUAUAUAUAUAUAUCAAUUUUACAAAAAUAUUGACACUCGCAACAUUAUUGGCAACUGUGUAAACUGUUUGGCGAGUGCAGAAACUUCUAUGAAAGUGUGUUUUACAAUACUGGAAUAUAGAAUGUCAAAUAAUCAAUAAAUAUUGCCAUCGCGUAUAUAUUUCUUCUCUUUGUAAUUCGCUUUUAUUUUUGACAUUAUCCGGCAAUAAAAAUGACGUAGUGCCGCAAA